UACGUAGGGUGCGAGCGUUAAUCGGAAUUACUGGGCGUAAAGUGUGCGCAGGCGGCUUUGCAAGACAGAUGUGAAAUCCCCGGGCUUAACCUGGGAACUGCAUUUGUGACUGCAUGGCUGGAGUGCGGCAGAGGGGGAUGGAAUUCCGCGUGUAGCAGUGAAAUGCGUAGAUAUGCGGAGGAACACCGAUGGCGAAGGCAAUCCCCUGGGCCUGCACUGACGCUCAUGCACGAAAGCGUGGGGAGCAAACAGG
rnacentral:rRNA from 1 species